rnacentral:rRNA from 1 species
AUUGAACGCUGGCGGCAGGCUUAACACAUGCAAGUCGGACGAGCGGAGGACGGGUGAGUAAUAUAUGGGAACUUGCCUAAUGGGGGGGGAUAACUACUGUAAAGAGUGGCUAAUACCGCAUACCAUACGAUCAGCACAUAUGGGAUUAGCUAGUGGGUGGGGUAACGGCUUACCAAGGCAACGAUCCCUAGCUGUGCUGAGAGGACGAUCAGCCACACGGGGACUGAGACACGGCCCAGACUCCUACGGGAGGCAGCAGUGGGGAAUAUUGGACAAUGGGCGCAAGCCUGAUGCAGCCAUCCCGCGUGUAUGAAGAAGGCCUUCGGGUUGUAAAGUACUUUCAGUCGGGAAGCGUUACCGACAGAAGAAGCACCGGCUAACUCCGUGCCAGCAGCCGCGGUAAUAC